rnacentral:rRNA from 1 species
CCUACGGGAGGCAGCAGUGGGGAAUAUUGCGCAAUGGGCGAAAGCCUGACGCAGCGACGCCGCGUGAGGGAUGAAGGUCUUCGGAUCGUUAACCUCUGUCAGCAGGGAAGAACGGUCACUGUGCUAAUCAGCAGUGAAUUGACGGUACCUGCAAAGGAAGCACCGGCUAACUCCGUGCCAGCAGCCGCGGUAAUACGGAGGGUGCGAGCGUUAAUCGGAUUUACUGGGCGUAAAGCGCUCGUAGGCGGUAUGUCAAGUCAAGGGUGAAAUCCCCGCGCUCAACGUGGGAACUGCCUUUGAAACUGGCAAACUGGAGUGUGUGAGAGGAUAGUGGAAGUCCAGGUGUAGGAGUGAAAUCCGUAGAUAUCGGGAGGAACAUCAGUGGCGAAGGCGACUAUCUGGCACAUAACUGACGCUGAGGAGCGAAAGCGUGGGUAGCAAACAGGAUUAGAUACCCGUGUAGUC